AUGUUGCCACAGCUUCUGCUCAGUGGGAAAUCUAUUUUCAGAGCAGAUACUGAACAGAGGGCUAAAAUUCCUGUCACGGGGACUGAGAGCAGAAAGCUUGGAUUUAAUGGAAAGAUCAUUAAUGACAGAGAAAAAUCAGAUACAAAUGCAGAGUCUCAAGAGAUCCACAGCUACUGUAUAAUCCGUGCACACCAACCCUGCAGACCAUGGCAGAGCCAUCCGCAAAAAUCAAUGGAUCAAGGCUUUCAGGAACACCAGACAAAGAAGUCAACGAGAGAAAAUUAAAUUUGCCACUUCUCCAGAUGUGGGCUGCUUGGCCUUUCUGGACAGCGAUUUGAUAGGUUUGUUGGUGUAAAGACGAGGGAGGCUGCAUCCCACGCCUUCCCCUGGGCCUAUGAAAUGUGAAGUGAGUGCUGGUUGAGAGGAGGACUUAAGAAAGAGAUUUGGGGGUUUCGGAAAGGAGGAGAAGGCCCAAAAUUGUCUCAGGAGAUUCCAAAUGCACAUUCGUAUCUUCAAGUCUCUAAGAAGCCUCGUUUUAGAACAAAGACAGUUGUUCAAAUUCAUAUACAAGCUGGGCCAGAUGGAGGUUUGGUGCAUCCUGAGCUUAUACAAUUUGAAGAGCCUUGUAAGAAGAAGAGCAUAAAAUUACAAAUACAAAAUCCAGAACAGAGGCUUGGAAGGGACUCAUGGGAACAACGGUUUCUGAAGCUCCAGUUUUACGGUAAAUCUACCUCUACCUGUGCACUAAAUGACCACACUCGCUCAGGAGAAGACUUCUUUCCGUCUCACACCUAUUAGUGACGCCCAGAAUAGGCUAGUUAGCGUCAAGGUGGGAUGUGCUGGCACAGACCGUGGGGGCUUCUCCAACUUGCCUGCCUUCUCUCUUCUCUCACCAAAAAAUAUAAAUACAGUUGACCCUUGAACUGUGCCAACCCCCCCCCCAUGCAGUUGAAAAUCCAUGUGUAACUUUUGACUCUCCUAAAACUCAACUACAGUAGCCUACUGUUAGCCAGAAGCCUUAUUGCUAACAUAUACGGUCAAUUAACAUCGGUUUUGUAUGUUGGACGUAUUAUAUAUGAUGUUCCUACAAUAAAGUAAGCUGGAGAAAGUGUUAUUAGGAAAAA
rnacentral:lncRNA from 12 species